GUCCAGCGUGACCAGCCAAAACAAGCCUGCCGCGACCGCAAGUCCGCCUGAAAAGCGGAAGGUCGGCGGUUCGAUCCCGCCCCUGGCCA
rnacentral:tRNA from 1 species